CUUCACAGACCCGAGCCACAGCGGCCGGUCGCCCGGCCGGUCCUGGCCGUACGUGGCCAGCAGUGCCUGGGCCUC
rnacentral:antisense_RNA from 1 species